CACGCCGUAAACGAUGUCAACUAGCCGUUGGGCCUUUUAACAGGCUUAGUGGCGCAGCUAACGCAUUAAGUUGACCGCCUGGGGAGUACGGCCGCAAGGUUAAAACUCAAAUGAAUUGACGGGGGCCCGCACAAGCGGUGGAGCAUGUGGUUUAAUUCGAUGCAACGCGAAGAACCUUACCUACCCUUGACAUCCAGAGAAUCUGUUAGAGAUAGCGGAGUGCCUUCGGGAACUCUGAGACAGGUGC
rnacentral:rRNA from 2 species